UACGAAGGACCCGAGCGUUAUCCGGAUUUAUUGGGUUUAAAGGGUGCGUAGGCGGACUAGUAAGUCAGUGGUGAAAGCCCAUCGCUUAACGGUGGAACUGCCAUUGAUACUGCUAGUCUUGAGUAUGGUUGAGGUGGGCGGAAUGUGUCAUGUAGCGGUGAAAUGCUUAGAUAUGACCCAGAACACCAAUUGCGAAGGCAGCUCGCUAAGCCAUAACUGACGCUGAGGCACGAAAGCGUGGGGAUCAAACAGG
rnacentral:rRNA from 1 species